AAGAGUGCAAUGAUGAAGCAUUUUUUUGUGGACUAGAGUUUCUGAUCUGGGAAUCUCUCCUAGAAGUUGAAGACUAACCCUUGGCUGUCUGAGUACUCUU
rnacentral:snoRNA from 1 species